rnacentral:rRNA from 1 species
UACAGAGGGUGCAAGCGUUAGUCGGAGUUACUGGGCGUAAAGGGCGUGUAGGCUGAUAUCUUAGUCGAUUGUGAAAUCCCUGGGCUUAACCUAGGAAUUGCAGUCGAUACUGGAUGUCUUGAGUAUGGUAGAGGAAGGUGGAAUUCUCGGUGUAGUGGUUAAAUACGUAGAUAUCGAGAAGAACAUCGGUGGCGAAGGCGGCCUUCUGGACCAAUACUGACGCUGAGGCGCGAAAGCGUGGGGAGCAAACAGG